rnacentral:rRNA from 1 species
UACGGAGGUGUGCAAGCGUUGAUCGGAAUCACUGGGCGUAAAGGGUGCGUAGGCGGUACGUUAGGUCUGUCGUGAAAUCCCCGGGCUCAACCUGGGAAUGGCGGUAGAAACCGGCGCACUAGAGUAUGGGAGAGGGUGGCGGAAUUCCUGGUGUAGCGGUGAAAUGCGUAGAUAUCUGAAGGAACGUCGGUGGCGAAGGCGGCCUCCUGGACCAGUACUGACGCUGAGAGACGAAAGCGUGGGGAGCAAACAGGAUUAGAUACCCUGGUAGUCCACGCCCUAAACGAUGAAUACUAAAUGUGUGGGACCUAAAGCACUGAGGGCCGUACCUAACGCGAUAAGUAUUCCGCCGGGGAAGUACGGCCGCAGGGUUAAAAUUCAAAGGAAUUGACGGGGGCCCGCACAAGCGGCGGAGCAUGUGGUUUAAUUCGACGCAACGCGAAGAACCUUGCCUGGGCAUGACAUCUCCGGAGUUCUGCAGAGAUGCGGGAGUGCCAUUUGGGGAAUCGGAACACAGGUGCUGCAUGGCUGUUCUCAGCUCGUGUCGUGAGAUGUUGGUCUAAGUCCCGCAGCGAGCCCAACCCUUGUCUUUAGUUGCCACCGGUUCGGCCGGGCACUCUAGGGAGACUGCCGGUGACAAGCCGGAGGAAGGUGGGGAUGACGUCAAGUCCUCAUGGCCUUUAUGUCCAGGGCCACACACGUGCUACAAUGGCGCGUACAGAGGGAAGCCAAGCCGCGAGGCGGAGCAGACCCCAGAAAGCGCGUCGCAGUUCGGAUUGCAGUCUGCAACUCGACUGCAUGAAGUCGGAAUCGCUAGUAAUCGCGGAUCAGCACGCCGCGGUGAAUACGUUCCCGGGCCU